rnacentral:rRNA from 1 species
AGAUUGAACGCUGGCGGCAGGCCUAACACAUGCAAGUCGAGCGGUAGAGAGGUGCUUGCAUCUCUUGAGAGCGGCGGACGGGUGAGUAAUGCCUAGGAAUCUGCCUGGUGGUGGGGGAUAACGUUCGGAAACGGACGCUAAUACCGCAUACGUCCUACGGGAGAAAGCGGGGACCUUCGGGCCUCGCGCCAUUAGAUGAGCCUAGGUCGGAUUAGCUAGUUGGUGAGGUAAUGGCUCACCAAGGCCGACGA